GACGAAGGAUGCAAGCGUUAUCCGGAUUCAUUGGGUUUAAAGGGAGCGUAGGUGGCCUUAUAAGUCAGUGGUGAAAUCUCUCAGCUUAACUGAGAAAUUGCCAUUGAUACUGUAGGGCUUGAGUACAGAUGCCGUUGGCGGAAUAUGACAUGUAGGGGUGAAAUACAUAGAGAUGUCAUAGAACACCGAUUGCGAAGGCAGCUGACGAAACUGUAACUGACACUGAGGCUCGAAAGUGCGGGGAGCGAACCGG
rnacentral:rRNA from 1 species